AGUGCUAACCAGAACAUGUCAUCUUUGAGUCUGAAGCCACUGUUCCAGGUCUCAGUAGGAGCUUUUGUCCAGCUGGUGAAUGAGCAACAAGAAAGCAGACCCCUCCUGAGUCCCUCCAUCGAUGACUUUCUCUGUGAAACCAAAUCGGAAGCAAUAGCAAGGCCAGUAACAUCCAAUACAGCUGACAUUCAAACACAACUGGAAAAAUGGGACGAUGUUAAGUUUCAUGGAGAUCGAAAUACCAAGGGACAUCCAAUGGCAGAGAGAAAAUCAUCCUCAUCUAGAACUGGAUCAAAAGAGCUCUUAUGGUCCUCAGAACACAGAUCUCAACCAGAACUGAGUGGUGGAAAAAGCGCCCUCAACUCUGAGUCGGCUUCAGAAUUGGAAUUAGUGGCUCCAACUCAGGCUCGACUGACCAAAGAACAUCGCUGGGGAAGUGCAUUACUUUCUAGAAACCACUCCUUAGAAGAAGAGUUUGAAAGGGCAAAAGCAGCAGUGGAGUCAGAUACAGAGUUUUGGGAUAAGAUGCAAGCAGAAUGGGAAGAAAUGGCUCGGAGGAACUGGAUAUCUGAGAACCAAGAAGCCCAGAACCAAGUAACCAUCUCGGCUAGUGAGAAGGGAUAUUACUUUCACACUGAAAACCCCUUCAAGGACUGGCCUGGAGCAUUUGAAGAAGGCUUAAAAAGGCUGAAGGAAGGGGAUCUGCCAGUCACCAUCCUGUUCAUGGAAGCAGCAAUUCUUCAGGACCCUGGAGAUGCAGAGGCAUGGCAGUUCCUCGGGAUAACCCAGGCGGAGAAUGAAAAUGAACAAGCAGCUAUUGUCGCCCUCCAGAGGUGCUUAGAAUUACAGCCCAACAACUUAAAAGCUUUGAUGGCCUUGGCUGUGAGUUAUACUAACACUGGCCAUCAGCAGGAUGCCUGUGACGCUCUGAAGAAUUGGAUUAAGCAAAAUCCAAAGUACAAAUACCUUGUGAAAAGCAAGAAGGGAUCUCCAGGCCUCACCCGGCGGAUGUCUAAGUCCCCAGUUGAUAGCUCUGUUCUGGAAGGCGUGAAGGAAUUAUAUCUGGAAGCUGCCCACCAAAAUGGAGAUAUGAUCGACCCAGACCUGCAGACAGGUCUAGGGGUUCUGUUCCACCUGAGUGGAGAAUUUAAUAGAGCAAUAGAUGCAUUUAACGCUGCCUUAACUGUUCGGCCAGAGGACUAUUCACUAUGGAACCGCCUCGGGGCGACCUUGGCGAACGGAGACCGCAGCGAGGAAGCCGUGGAGGCCUACACGCGAGCGCUGGAGAUUCAGCCAGGAUUCAUCCGGUCCAGAUACAACCUAGGAAUAAGCUGCAUCAACCUGGGCGCCUACAGAGAAGCGGUCAGCAAUUUUCUCACUGCCCUCAGUUUGCAAAGAAAGAGCAGGAAUCAGCAGCAAGUUCCUCAUCCUGCAAUCUCUGGGAAUAUCUGGGCUGCCCUCAGAAUUGCACUCUCUCUGAUGGACCAACCAGAACUCUUCCAGGCGGCUAAUCUUGGUGACCUGGAUGUCCUCUUAAGAGCUUUCAACUUGGAUCCUUGAAGAAAGAAUAAUACCAGUACUAAUAAUCCCUGAUCUGUGUGAUUGUACUGAAAAAUCAAAAACUAUUUUAUUAUGAAUUUCAAAAGGAUAAAUCAAAUAUUCAAAAGGCCAUGGUCAUAUAGCCCAAGGAAAUUAAUUCCUGUGGACAAUGCCCAGUCUCUGUUCAGAUCCAAAAGCAC
rnacentral:sRNA from 1 species